GCCUUACACAUGCAAGUCGAACGGCAGCACGGGUGCUUGCACCUGGUGGCGAGUGGCGAACGGGUGAGUAAUACAUCGGAACAUGUCCUGUAGUGGGGGAUAGCCCGGCGAAAGCCGGAUUAAUACCGCAUACGAUCUACGGAUGAAAGCGGGGGACCUUCGGGCCUCGCGCUAUAGGGUUGGCCGAUGGCUGAUUAGCUAGUUGGUGGGGUAAAGGCCUACCAAGGCGACGAUCAGUAGCUGGUCUGAGAGGACGACCAGCCACACUGGGACUGAGACACGGCCCAGACUCCUACGGGAGGCAGCAGUGGGGAAUUUUGGACAAUGGGCGAAAGCCUGAUCCAGCAAUGCCGCGUGUGUGAAGAAGGCCUUCGGGUUGUAAAGCACUUUUGUCCGGAAAGAAAUCCUUGGCUCUAAUACAGCCGGGGGAUGACGGUACCGGAAGAAUAAGCACCGGCUAACUACGUGCCAGCAGCCGCGGUAAUACGUAGGGUGCAAGCGUUAAUCGGAAUUACUGGGCGUAAAGCGUGCGCAGGCGGUUUGCUAAGACCGAUGUGAAAUCCCCGGGCUCAACCUGGGAACUGCAUUGGUGACUGGCAGGCUAGAGUAUGG
rnacentral:rRNA from 1 species